GACGUAGGGCGCGAGCGUUGUCCGGAAUUAUUGGGCGUAAAGAGCUCGUAGGCGGUCUGUCGCGUCGGAUGUGAAAACUCGGGGCUCAACCCCGAGCCUGCAUUCGAUACGGGCAGACUAGAGUUCGGUAGGGGAGACUGGAAUUCCUGGUGUAGCGGUGAAAUGCGCAGAUAUCAGGAGGAACACCGGUGGCGAAGGCGGGUCUCUGGGCCGAUACUGACGCUGAGGAGCGAAAGCGUGGGGAGCAAACAGG
rnacentral:rRNA from 1 species